rnacentral:rRNA from 1 species
UACGUAGGUGACCAGCGUUGUCCGGAUUUACUGGGCGUAAAGAGCGCGCAGGCGGUCGUUCAAGUCGAGUGUGAAAGCCCCCGGCUCAACUGGGGAGGGUCACUCGAUACUGAUCGACUUGAAGGCAGGAGAGGGAAGCGGAAUUCCCGGUGUAGUGGUGAAAUGCGUAGAUAUCGGGAGGAAUACCAGUGGCGAAGGCGGCUUCCUGGCCUGUUCUUGACGCUGAGGCGCGAAAGCUAGGGGAGCAAACGGG